rnacentral:ncRNA from 1 species
GAAACCUCAUCUUGCUCAAGUGCCAUCCGGGCGCCAGGGCAGUGUUUUUACAAGAAAACACAGGCAAUCUGCCUGGGUGAGGAGAGAGU